rnacentral:misc_RNA from 1 species
ACUGGAGUUUGGAUCGAGGAUUGUCCUCUCCAAGGGCUAGUGGAUUGUGGAUGGACCCAGCUUAUUUGAAACAUGGUACCCAAAUAUAUGAUUCAAGUAGUACCAGCUUGGGUGCUAAGUUGGAUAUGAGAACAGCUGCAAUUGGGAAUGGUGUGCCCAUUCCAGGAUUGCAGGACGGUGAAGUGGCCAGUGCAGAAACAUCUGCUGCUAAAUCACAUGAAUGGACAUCUCCAUUUGAGGGGAAAGAUCUCUUUACUUUACCCAGACAGUUUGUUUCAUCUCCUUCACUGUAGGGUGGGGGGCAGGGCAUGAUUUCAAUCAAUAAAAUAGAAAGAAAAAAAAAAACUGGAAAAUAUGUUGAAUUU